UUCCGUUCCUACGGGAGAACUUCCGGGAGCAACAGAAAUAAGGGUGAUCCAGCUACCAACUCUCUCUGGUUUGUCCAGAAAGCAUCCUCCGUUACUAACGGUUUCCUGGAUUCCGUUGGGAAGGCGGCCAUCAUGAGAGAACCGUUCCCGGACAGUAUUAGAAAGGUGCAGAUCCAUUUUCACCAUUUCUCCAAGUGUGAUUUGAAACAGUAACUGUCAAAUUUCAGAGACAUCAGGAUGGCAGCAAAAAUCCAUCGCAUACAGCAACAAAUGUCUGAGUGGCCUGAAAUUGAACACUGCUCUUAAUGGCACAGUUCCUUUUGUACCUCUGGCUCGCACUUGUUUUUAUUAGAUUGUUUUUGUUUCUGAUAAAAUAACUAUGAAUUCACUGGAACCUUGGCAAGUGAGAGAUAGCACAAGUCACACACUGUGGCAAUAGUCAGAUGCAGGCAACAUUAACAACCUGGCAUUAAUCUGUACUUCGAGAUAUGUGAUAGAAAGGAGAAGCUACACAUUUGUAAAUCAAAAUGUAUCCUGCCUCAGUUCAUUUAUCUUCUACCAUCUCUUGUUAAAUUCAUCUGGACUCAUUUCCCUCAUUUUGUUGAGAAGGUGACUUUAAAUUUUUUUUUUAAUUAAUUAAUUAUUUUUUGUACCAAAAAUACUACUCUGGACCUUGAAUGUUUGAGGCAGGUGAAGCACCACUGAGCUAAAUCCCCACACAAGAUGAUGAUUUUUGUUUUGUUUUGUUUUUUGAGACA